rnacentral:rRNA from 2 species
CUCAAGGUUGACCUCAGAUCAGGUAGGAAUACCCGCUGAACUUAAGCAUAUCAAUAAGNCGGAGGAAAAGAAACCAACAGGGAUUGCCCUCAGUAACGGCGAGUGAAGCGGCAACAGCUCAAAUUUGAAAUCUGGCCCUAGGCCCGAGUUGUAAUUUGCAGAGGAUGUUUCUGGCGAGGUGCCUUCCGAGUUCCCUGGAACGGGACGCCAUAGAGGGUGAGAGCCCCGUACGGUUGGUCGCUAAGCCUCUGUGAAACUCCUUCGACGAGUCGAGUAGUUUGGGAAUGCUGCUCUAAAUGGGAGGUAUACGUCUUCUAAAGCUAAAUACCGGCUAGAGACCGAUAGCGCACAAGUAGAGUGAUCGAAAGAUGAAAAGCACUUUGAAAAGAGGGUUAAAUAGUACGUGAAAUUGUUGAAAGGGAAGCGCUUAUGACCAGACUUGGGCCGGUUGAUCAUCCAUCGUUCUCGGUGGUGCACUCUGCCGGCUCAGGCCAGCAUCAGUUUGGCCCGGGGGAUAAAGGUUUCGGGAAUGUGGCUUCCUUCGGGGAGUGUUAUAGCCCGUUGCGUAAUACCCUGGGCUGGACUGAGGUACGCGUUCUGCAAGGAUGCUGGCGUAAUGGUCAUCAGUGACCCGUCUUGAAACACGGACCAAGGAGUCGUCUUCGUAUGCGAGUGUUCGGGUGUCAAACCCCUACGCGUAAUGAAAGUGAACGUAGGAGAGAGCUUCGGCGCAUCUCCGACCGAUCCUGAUGUUCUCGGAUGGAUUUGAGUAAGAGCAUACGGGGCCGGACCCGAAAGAAGGUGAACUAUGCCUGUAUAGGGUGAAGCCAGAGGAAACUCUGGUGGAGGCUCGCAGCGGUUCUGACGUGCAAAUCGAUCGUCAAAUAUGGGCAUGGGGGCGAAAGACUAAUCGAACC